rnacentral:tRNA from 1 species
GCCAGUGUGGUGUAGUGGUUUGAGGGUUGAACUAUGACUCUGGAGACCAGGGUUCAAUUCUCUGCUUGGCCA